GGCAGCCAUCAGGCCAGGUGCUGAGUUAAACCUCCCCAUGAUCAAAAAAAAAAACCCACAAAAUUCCUGUGCUCCUACCCCAUCCCAAGCCUCAUCAGCCACCCUCGAAAGGGCUGCCAGUUUGUGGUGGCUCCCUCAGCUGCCUCGAGUGGCCUCGAAGCAGGCCUGAAACCUGCAUGCCAUGAUCCCCCACGCCGCUGCAGGACGCGUCUGCCCCAGAGCCCAUCGCCUUACUCAAUAAGAAUUUUGUGCUGGAGAAGUGCUACUGAUGCCUGAAGGAUUGCUGGUAGUCGUAGUGGCGAGUAUCUGAACUAGUUAGGACUCGAGGAUGGCCAGCUAGAGUUGUGCUAGAAAGAGCAGUUUACCUAUUGCUGAAGCUGCGUUCCAUCUAGUGGUCUGUGACAGGGAGUCCUUGUGGGCUGAAAAAUACAAUCUGCAGGUAUAUUGAAAAUGUUUUUUUCGGAGUUUGCAUUUAGUAGUCUAGCUUGUACACGUUGGUUGUGGUCAGCGAAAGCUUAAUUACUGGCUUUGAACUCAUGUUGACAGUGGUGCAGAAAUGGUUGUGGUGCUGCAUCCAAAUGAACACGAUUAUCAUGUUUGCCUUGCUACUUAAGUCAUUUAUUCCCUAAUGAGCUGUGAUGGAACCUGCUUUUCCCACAGAUAUAUAAAUUUACCUGAAGAUUUCAGGUAUUAGUAUUAGCAGCAUUAAUAUUGUUGCUAAUUAAGCUUGGCAGGACUCAUGAACUAGAGACUGGAAGUAUGGCAUGGA